rnacentral:misc_RNA from 1 species
AACGCACAUUGCGCCCAUUAGUAUUCUAGUGGGCAUGCCUGUUCGAGCGUCAUUUCAACCCUUAAGCCUAGCUUAGUGUUGGGAGUCUACGAGUGGGCCACGUUACCCUGUAGCGUGGUUACCCUGUAGUUCCUGAAAAUCAACGGCGGAUUUACAGUAUCCUCUGAGCGUAGUAAUUCUUUAUCUCGCUUCUGUUUAGGUGCUGUGACUUCGGCCGCUAAACCCCCAAUUUUUUUGUGGUUGACCUCGGAUCAGGUAGGAAUACCCGCUGAACUUAA